GAGCUUGAUCCCGGCUCAGAUUGAACGCUGGCGGCAGGCUUAACACAUGCAAGUCGAGCGGAGUGAUGGUGCUUGCACUAUCACUUAGCGGCGGACGGGUGAGUAAUGCUUAGGAAUCUGCCUAUUAGUGGGGGACAACAUUUCGAAAGGAAUGCUAAUACCGCAUACGUCCUACGGGAGAAAGCAGGGGAUCUUCGGACCUUGCGCUAAUAGAUGAGCCUAAGUCGGAUUAGCUAGUUGGUGGGGUAAAGGCCUACCAAGGCGACGAUCUGUAGCGGGUCUGAGAGGAUGAUCCGCCACACUGGGACUGAGACACGGCCCAGACUCCUACGGGAGGCAGCAGUGGGGAAUAUUGGACAAUGGGCGCAAGCCUGAUCCAGCCAUGCCGCGUGUGUGAAGAAGGCCUUAUGGUGUAAAGCACUUAAGCGAGGAGGAGGCUACUGAAGUUAAUACCUCAGAUAGUGGACGUACUCGCAGAAUAA
rnacentral:rRNA from 1 species